AGCUUUGUGCAGUAGCAAUAUUGUAACCAGUGAGGUUUAUCUGAGGCAUGAUUAUUGCUAAUUGAAAACUUUUUCCCAAUUUUAUAUAUAUAUAUACAUGUACAUAUAUAUAUGGCAAAUAUAUUCUGAGGCAUUGACCUUAGUUACCAUCAACAGGCAGCCUCCUUGUGUACAGACCAAUG
rnacentral:snRNA from 1 species